GUGCACUCUCUGCAGAGCGGCACUCAGUGCAAUCACCUGCAGCUGCAGCCAGUCAUCACCGACCUGGUGCAGUGUCUUCUGCCGAGGUUGAAUGGAAAAGUGGACGUGCUUGUUUUCAAUCCGCCGUACGUCGUCACUCCAUCAGACGAGGUGAACGAGUGAAUGUGAAGAAAACAUUCCCAGCAGCUCCAGAAAUGAUGCAGAAAU